CAGGCCGCCCAGCCCAGCGCUCAGAGCCCAAACCCCCAGAACCAGAACCUCGCGUCCUUGAAGGGUCUCAGGCUGGAGCAGAGGUACCACUCAGCCCCGAGACACCUCGGAGCCCCGCUCGCGGUGCCUACCUGCAAAGCCUGGAGCCCAGUAGCCGCCGAUGGGUGCUAGGAGGGGCUAAACCACCGGAGGAGAUAUCUUUAGGGCCUAGGACACCUAGCAGUGGGGAGCCUGCUGGUGAGAUUUGGUACAACCCCAUCCCUGAAGAAGACCCCAGACCUCCAGCACCUGAGCCCGUGGGAUCGCAGCUAGCUUCCUCUGAGCCAGAAGGCCCGAUCCUCCAAGGUGCAGCCCCUACCAGCCCCCCUACCAAAACCUCCCGUACCAAGUCCCCAGGCCCUGCAAGGCGCCUCUCUAUGAAGAUGAAAAAGCUUCCAGAGCUGCGCCGCCGCCUGAGCCUAAGAAGUACUCGCACUAGCAGGGAACGAGAGAGGACCGCCCCAGCAGGCUCUGUCAUCAGCCGCUACCACCUGGACAGCAGUGU
rnacentral:lncRNA from 1 species